UUACCAUAGCGACAGUUUUGUAUACUUCACGUUUGUUUCUCUGAUUUUGUCAACAACUUUUUCAUUCCUUAUGAACAUUUGCAAAAGCUCUUUAGUUUAAUUACCGAUUUAAGUUUCUAACUAAUCUUUGGUCCCGGAUAUCAAGUAAAAAUGGCGUAUGACAACAAGUUAAUAACAGACAUAAUGAAGGACAUUGGCUGUGGUGAUGGCUUUCACGUACCGGUGGCAAAUGAAGAAAAUCAAUUACUCGAAAACGAGAUAAAAGAAUUACUUAAAAAAAAAGCGGAACUAUUGGUUACUGAUGAAUCUUUAGAUAAUGAAUUACAAGAUAAUAAAAAUAUAUUAACCAAUUUAUCAUCUCACGAGGUUCAAAAUCAGAAAUUGAUAAUAGCAAAUCGUCAACAACAUGAGACGGAACAACAUAUGUUGGUGGCAGCUCAAAACGACAACGACUAUUUAACCCGGGAAAAUAAAACACUGAAACAAAAUUUCAUUGAAUUGAUUGAAAAUCAGAAUAAAAUGGAAAGUGAGUUGGUAAAAAACGACGAACAAAUAAAAAAAUUGAGGGAAACUAUCGAGUGGGGCGAAGAAACGCUUUCGGAAUGGAACAACGACUUGACCAAACGAUGUACGGAUGUAAAUAUUCUUGAGAGAUAUCAUUUGGAGGAUAAUAAUAGGUUUAAGGAAUUGGAAUUACGAAGACAAUAUCUUCAACGGGAUGUAAUUGAAAGAGAGUCUAUCGUGGAAAAAGAAGUUGGUGAAUUGCUUCAAGUAGAAAGAGAACUGGAACAAACUGCUAAGUUAACUAGACAAGCACAACAUGAAAGAAAUCAUCGACUUGAACAAUGGGAAAACGCUGCUAAUUUUUUGAACUCUAAUCAAAAAGAUUCGCAAAAUACUAUUGAAGAAAUCAAUAAAAUUAGAUUGGCUGCUCGUGAAAUUUAUGAUAACAUGAAUGAAAAUAAACAAAAGUAUCAUGAAUAUUUAGAGAAAAAUGAAGAAUUAGAAUAUAAAAUGGAAGAAAUAAAUAAAGUCAAUAAUGAGCUGAAGUUAUCGACCCUUAAUAAGCUUUCGGAAACUGAGGAUUUACAAUCAGAGGUGUUAUCAGCUCAAAAAGCUCUUGGUGUUAUGGGCAAUAAGUUAGAAAAUGAGCGUACAAAACGUAAGCAUAUGGAAAACGAAUUAACAAAAUUGAAAACUCAGAUAGAACAAAAAGAAAAAGGCUUAUCAAAAAUAAAAGAUGAUUUGUCUAAAAUCAAAAACCAGUCUAUGACUACAGAGGAGAGGUUAAAUGAACUGAAUUCGAUCUAUAAUCAAAAAAAAAUUGAUGCAGAAAAAUUCUUAUCGGAAAAAAAUAAAAUGCUUAGUGUUGCGUAUAGCGUAAGAAAUGAGAUAAACCAGGAAAAAAUUAACAUUGAUUUGUUAACAAGUCAAUUAGAACGAAUUUGUAACAAACAAAAUGUAUUGAGCAAAGAAGAAUCGAAAUCAAAAAAAUUAAUUUUGGAAAAAAAAGAGCUCGUAUAUAACUUGAGCUUUCAGCUCGAAACUAUACGUAUAGCAAUUGCUGAAGCCAAAGGAACCACGGAUAUUGAAGAAAUGAAAGUUUUGCAAGAAAAGUUACAAAAAUGUAAUGAAGAGUUAAGCCAGGCCAAUGAACACCAGCGUGAGUUGGAAAAGCAGUUGAAAUCGACUGAAAGCGAAACCCGACGUAUAACAAAACAAAUUGAAAAAAAUGCUGUAGAAUUAGAAACGCUCCGAAAUCGAGUAGAGGAGUUGAACGUCACCAACGAAGGAGGUGUUAAACAAAUUCAAGCCUUAAAAGAAACAAAUCAUCGGUAUCAUAUGGAGGAAAUGAUGGUGAAGCUCAAGAUAGAACAAAUGAAGAAGUUAACGGACAAUGAAUGCGAAAAAGUGUAUUCGUUGGCUCAACAGCGUGAGGAAUUAACUAUGGGCAUAAACAAUAGGAAAAGCGAAGUGGCAGAAAUGUAUAAGCGGAUCAAUGAGGAGAAAAAAAUACUGUCAGAUGAGAAGUCAACGAUGAAACGAAAACUGGAUUCGUUGGUCCAGUACAUAGAACAGCGAAAGGCCAAGCAUCAGAUACUUGUAUCUACGAUGGGAGGCCCCUCGUCAUCGGCGACAGUGGACGACGGUGAUGACGAUUGUGACGGUGCAGAUGAAGACGUAUCGUCGUUCAGAAUUAGCGAACACCGGAUCCGGGUGGCCCAAGAGAAGCUUGAGCUGCAGGAGACUGGUGACCGAUUGGACGAGCGUGUGCAGAAGUUGGAGACCGAGAUCCGGGCCAUGGAGAACACGCUGCACGUACUCAAUGCCAACAACAGUUGUUACAAGUCCGGAAUGUCUUCCGUAAACCCCGCCAGCGAAGAGUACAAAGAAAAGAUCGCUUUAGAGGAGACUUACGAGAAACUUAAUAGCAUGUGGCUGCAGAAGAAAAAAACGCUCGAAAAUUUGGAGAACGAAAUUCGAGAUCUAGAAGUUCAGUAUAAGACAAGCAAUGAAGAACUAGAAAGUUUAAUUAAUAUCCGUGACAUUAAAGAAAGUGAACGUGAACGCGUGCUUAAAGAGUCCAAUGAACAAUUAAUGAAACUAAACCGAGCAAAUAACCGAAUUGAGUUUGAUAUGAAAACAAUUGACAAGUGUUGUAAUCCCGAAAAACGGAGUGCACUUGAAUUAAUAAAACGGGAUAUCGAGGUGAGAAUGAUGAAAAAAGUGAACAAGUGCGUUUUAGAACAAUUAUCGGAAAUGUCUGUUCGACAUAUCGGAGUUGAACCGACUGUCAAGCAAUACCUAUUAGAAAAGAAUUUGGAGCUACCAGCUGUUUCCGGUCUAUUUUUGAAUCAAAUCAAAUCAAGUUGUGGUUCUAGUUCAACGUCAUUGAUUAGCAGUAAUUCCAGUAUUAAAAGCUAUUUGGAUGAAGACAAGCAGUGUUCGUAUUCUGUUGUGAACGUAGAACCUGCGGCUUUAAGCGGCUCCAUUAAAUCCAUUAAAUCCAUUAAAUCCAUUAAAUCCGGUACUUCAAUUGUGACGAAACACAGCAAAUGAUAAAAUUUUCUAGUUUUACGCAUAAAUAUAUUUUAAUUUUGGGUAUAUGUGAUACAACCAAAAAUUUAAGGUGGUUGGAAGCAGAAUACCAAUUAUUUUAUGAUUUAGAUAAAUGAUUCAAAACUACAUCUAUUUAGAAUAAUCAAAUUAUUCGAAUUUCAGUUCUGUAAAAACAUUGAGUUUACCGUAUUUUUUCUAAAGAAAAUAGAUUUUUGCUAUUUUAAUUUAAAUUGUAUUAAAAUCCUAUUAUUAUUUUUAAAAUAGUCUGGAAGAAAGGACGAUAAGUCAGUCAAACUAUUUGUAUGGAACUAAAAUUAAUUUAUUCUUAGUAUGUGAAGUUUUGACAGGUUUUAUUAAUUCUUAAUUAGUAAAAUUCAUUUAAAUCGUAGGAACAAAAUAUAUAUAAUAUAUUUUUUAAUUCAAUGAUAAUAUGAAUAUAUUUUAUAUACGUGUUCCAAAUAUGAGGGUGGUGCUUGGUGCACUAAAAUCUAAAUAAGUGUUUACUAAUUACUUCUUAAAAAAGGCCUUUAAUCAUCUCAAGUAUUAUAAAUAUAUUAUAAUCUAAAUCCAUAAAAAACAAGACGUAAGUUAAUAGAAACGUCAAAAAGUGGUGCUCAAUUUAUCAUGUAGAACCCACAUUGUAGGUUGAUACGUUAUAAUGGUAUUAAUUUUUUUUUUAAUAUUUAUACUUCACUACUAUGUUUUUCUUAUUUAAUGUAUUCUUUUUCAUUGACUCACACCGUAUUACCACUAAUUUACUUGUUGACUACAGAUUGUAAAUUUUAAUUUAAAUAAAUGAUUUAAAAAUUUU